rnacentral:lncRNA from 1 species
UCAAACCCAAACCUAAUUAGGCAUCUUAUUCAAUGUUUGAUGAAACUAAAAGAGAUAUUUACCCGAUAAACCAUAUAGCAAAAGUGAAAAGGCAGACAAAGAGUACAGGGGUAGCGCAUGUACAUAACAGGUGAAACUUCACAAUUAAGUAAAAACUCUAUACUAUGAGUCAGAAAAUUUCACAAGGCCAACUAGCACUGUAACAAGGAGUCAACAUUUUUCUAUCACUAAAGAAGAAGGCAAACAUAAAAUACUAGACAGAGCAUCUAUAGAACACACACAACUGAUUCCUUAUCUGGACAAAAAGAAGGAAAAAAACACACCCACACACAACUGAUCAUAAUAAAUAAAAUUCUGAAUCUGCUAGAAAACGGUAGAGUGCAGAGAAUGCUACAAAUGGAAACUGUUUGAGAAGCUUCAUUUUUCUUGGGACUGGGACUGUUUCGGAAGCUUCACUGAUAAGCAUCUUUAUCUGUUUCCUGUACAAGAUGCGACUCAAUCUCCACAAUUAGUCCGGACAUUGAGAAACAGCAAGCAAGGUAUCCCACAAAUAAUAGUAUAAUUCUUAGUUAUACCCUGCCUAUAUAUGGCUAAAGUGUCCAGCUCCAUGCUGGAACUAAGCCUAAACCUAAUCUUGCUGGCCUCAGUUUCAACACUACAGCAAAUUCAAAUACAAAUAGACUUGACCCUCAUUUAAGGUCAAUUCCUUCAUCAGAGCACGGAAGAAAAAUAAAGAGUUGAAAGAACUAAAUCGAGAAAAUAACACUUUUUUGCACACACAUCAAAGUAGUCGUUCCAAGUAAAAAAGGGCAUAACAAGAUAAAAAAACGAAUAACUUAGUUAAAAUACUCAAUAAAACAUAAAUAAGGAAAUAAAUAAAUUACAGUACAAGUAUUUACUUUAAUCAGUAUUAUAAGUAUUGGUUACAACUUACAAACGUCAAGCCACCUUCUCACACGAAAUUUAGCCCCAAAGGUCCACUAACCCAACUGCAUUCGAUCCCUAAUCCUUUCUAAGGUAAAUAAUUUUAUUAAUGAUAGGAAACCCCAAUAUACAAGAUGUAUACCAAAAAGUAUAAAACCUACAUCA